rnacentral:misc_RNA from 1 species
UAUCAGUUUCAUCAUUUCCCAUUUCCUUUGCUCCAUUUUGUUUCAAUCUCCAUCUCCCCCUCUAUUUAUCUAGCACAAGUCUCUGUAAUUCUCUGAUACCAAAAUCCCAAUGGCUCGAUCACUGUUGUUGCUCGCCCUCUGCGCUCCUCCGGCACUCGUGAGCGCCGCUCGCCCCCAAAGAACCCCAUUUGAAGUGGAGGGUCGUGUGUUCUGUGAC